rnacentral:rRNA from 1 species
UACGUAGGGAGCGAGCGUUGUCCGGAUUCAUUGGGCGUAAAGGGUGCGUAGGCGGCGCGGUAAGUCGGGUGUGAAAUCUUGGAGCUUAACUCCGAAACUGCAUUCGAUACUGCCGUGCUUGAGGACUGGAGAGGAGACUGGAAUUUACGGUGUAGCGGUGAAAUGCGUAGAUAUCGUAAGGAAGACCAGUGGCGAAGGCGGGUCUCUGGACAGUUCCUGACGCUGAGGCACGAAGGCCAGGGGAGCAAACGGG